rnacentral:lncRNA from 1 species
CGUAGUGGAUGGCGCCGAGCUCGGAGAGGCGUUGGGUGAGCUUGGUGAGGAGGCGGAUGUCGUUUUGGAAGCCAUGGGUAGUGAUCUGAGCGUGGGUUUGGGUGAGGUGAGAGAGGGAAGAUGAGAUUUUGAAGAGGUCGGAGAUGGUGUUCUUGUUUAUUACUCCUCCGACGGUUGUCUCGGCGGUGGCGGCGGAUAAGGAACGUAGUAACAUUUGGCUUUUGGCCUUUGAGUUUAACUGUAACGAAAGGACUCAUUUCGCGCUCCUAUAGUAUCCAUUUAAACACAAUUUCAAAUUACAAUUUUUUUUAUUGAUCAAUUUUUUUAAUUUUAAUAAAAAGCUAGAAACAAUGCUUAUGCUAGUUACAUUUUUGUUAUGAAUUACUGCAGUAAUUGAUCCUAUAUAAUGAUUUAAUUCAUGGUUUAUUAAUGUUUUACAUGAAUAAACUUUUAUUUAAAAUUCUAAAUAAUGCUAUUUAUCAUUAAUAAUACAGAUUAAUGAAAACAUUAUUGAAAAUUUUCAACAUGCUUAGCAAAACCACAAAUCAUGAAGCUUUAUAAAAUUGUGGUGCAAAUCUUACAAUACUAAAAACAAGAUAUGGAAAGAUUAUAUCCUAUCCACGUCACUUAUUAAAUUCCUCCAAUCACAACAUUUUAUUAAAACACGUCAGAUGGGCUUUAGUUUAUUGAGUUAUGUUUCUAAAAUGGUAAAGGUCCAAUGUUAACCCAUUAAAUUCGCAGCCUACUCAGGAUAGUCUCCAUCUUCGUCGGCUUCCUCUCCUCACAUUCCCUGUAUUCCACAUAGUAAUAACAGUUCUAUAAGGUUUUGCUUCAUCAUUAAAACCACGUCUUUAUUUUUUUUUCAUUAACUUUCUCCUUCGACCUCUUCCACGACGAUUAGUUGAAUUAUCUCUUUCACACACCUCCACAUGAAAUCCCUAAUUUCUGAUACUAUAAAUAGGGUUGUUGAAUUCUCCAAAUCUCACAGCUUCUCAUGCUUCGAACCUAUUGAUUUCUCACAACACGUCGUUCAACUACGGUAUUGUCCCAAAUCUUCUCUCUGAUGUAUAGUCCAAUUGUUUUUCCAUUCUGGGAAGCGCGGAACAUGAAAGAGCUAGCGGUGUUAAAUUUUAUCAUCCUCAUCAUUGACGAACAGGUAUGAGUGUUUUCCCCCAAUUUUUCUUCCGUGGAGUCUAAAGCAAUCUCCCUAACCACUGACUGAUUGAAAAGAUAUCAGGUACAUCUGCAAUGCCUCAAAGAUAUACUCUGGUUUAUAUGGAGGAGGGGCGUAUUGGAGGGGGUGGCGACUUUCCUCAUGUAAAGAAAGGUUAGGGAGUAUAGUAAUUCUGACUUUUAUGUUUUUAGUCCCUUUCGGUUUUAACUACAAGCUGUGAUGGUGCAAUAGUUUUAGUGACUUUCAAUUUGAACAAUAAUUAUUUUGCAAAGAGAGAUGGCCAAUACCGGAUUGAUUCUGAGACCACACCAACAACUGAGGUUGAGAUGCCUUAGGUACAAUCUCUGCUACCACAGAUACUGAGCUUUCAUGUAACUGUAAACCUUGAAUUCUGUUUCCAUGCUCAGUGUUUAGGUUUUUGGCUCCAGGGGCUAUGUUCGGGUCAGGUGGACAGAGAUUGGGAACAAAACAUUUCCAGCUCACACAGUUCGAAGAGGUACGAUUUCAUUCUCUUACCACGAAACAGUGGCGCAUUGGUUCCACUUAGGUUCUGGUUAACGUGACUGCUUUUGUCAACAGGUUUUUACGAGUCACCACUGGAUGGUUCUGAGAUUUUGAAGAGGUCGGAGAUGGUGUUCUUGUUUAUUACUCCUCCGACGGUUGUCUCGGCGGUGGCGGCGGAUAAGGAACGUAGUAACAUUUGGCUUUUGGCCUUUGAGUUUAA